rnacentral:rRNA from 1 species
CCUACGGGCGGCAGCAGUAGGGAAUCUUCCACAAUGGGCGAAAGCCUGAUGGAGCAACGCCGCGUGGGUGAAGAAGGCCUUCGGAUCGUAAAACUCUGUUGUUAGAGAAGAAAGUGCGUGAGUGUAACUGGUCACGUUUCGACGGUAUCUAACCAGAAAGCCACGGCUAACUACGUGCUAGCAGCCGCGGUAAUACGUAGGUGGCAAGCGUUAUCCGGAUUUAUUGGGCGUAAAGGGAACGCAGGCGGUCUUUUAAGUAAGAUGUGAAAGCCUUCGGCUUAACCGGAGUAGUGCAUUGGAAACUGGGAGCCUUGAGUGCAGAAGAGGUGAGUGGAACUCCAUGUGUAGCGGUGAAAUGCGUAGAUAUAAGGAAGAACACUAGUGGCGAAAGCGGCUCUCUGGUCUGUAACUGACGCUGAGGUUCGAAAGCGUGGGUAGCAAACAGGAUUAGAUACCCCUGUAGUC